rnacentral:rRNA from 1 species
UACGAAGGGGGCUAGCGUUGUUCGGAAUCACUGGGCGUAAAGGGCGCGUAGGCGGCUUUGUAAGUCGGGGGUGAAAGCCUGUGGCUCAACCACAGAAUUGCCUUCGAUACUGCAUGGCUUGAGACCGGAAGAGGUAAGUGGAACUGCGAGUGUAGAGGUGAAAUUCGUAGAUAUUCGCAAGAACACCGGUGGCGAAGGCGGCUCACUGGCCCGAUACUGACGCUGAGGCACGAAAGCGUGGGGAGCAAACAGG